rnacentral:rRNA from 1 species
CCUACGGGUGGCAGCAGUGAGGAAUAUUGGUCAAUGGGCGCGAGCCUGAACCAGCGAAGUAGCGUGAAGGAUGACUGCCCUACGGGUGGUAAACUUCUUUUAUAAAGGAAUAAAGUGAGGCACGUGUGCCGUUUUGUAUGUACUUUAUGAAUAAGGAUCGGCUAACUCCGUGCCAGAAGCCGCGGUAAUACGGAGGAUCCGAGCGUUGUUCGGAUUUAUUGGGUUUAAAGGGAGCGUAGAUGGGUUGUUAAGUCAGUUGUGAAAGUUUGCGGCUCAACCGUAAAAUUGCAAUUGAUACUGGCAAUCUUGAGGACAGUUGAGGUAGGCGGAAUUCGUGGUGUAGCGGUGAAAUGCUUAGAUAUCACGAAGAACUCCGAUUGCGAAGGCAGCUUACUAAACUGCCACUGACAUUGAUGCGCGAAAGUGUGGGUAUCAAACAGGAUUAGAUACCCGGGUAGUC